rnacentral:lncRNA from 1 species
GAAAGAGUUUCUGCGUCACGUCCCACUUUCUCUCAGCUGUAUCAAUAACUAUUUUCGCGCAUGCGUCACCAGUUGCUUCGGCGGUGACAGUGCAUUCUUCCUGCGACAAGCGUUGCAGCAGAAGUAAACGUGCAGGGGAGGGGGGCGGGGCGGCACCGGGUGUCUCCCCGACGAAGCGGCGUCCCGCUGCUGUGAUGUCACUGUAACCCGCUACAGAAAUGUCGUUUCCAUAGGGAUUUGGCAAUUCAGAAUGGCUACAAUCACAAGGUGACUAUUGUAGCGGCCUACGGUGUCUCUUCCCUGCGGUAUGAGGUGGAAGUGUUCCUCCCAUCGGGCUGCUGGUGCCUAUGCCGAUGGGGGAGAACCGAAGUGGCGACAGAUCCGUUGUUUUUUUCUUGCUCUAGCGUACAACAACCGUACUUUGGCAUGCAUUGCCCUGCGUAUUCGAUGGUAUUUGAAGUGGAAGGGGUUUGCAGCUCCAUACGGUUGGGUAAGUGCAUAAAGGACUAAGGGAGAGAGCCGGAAGUCGUGAGGGGAAUUGCAGACACCGACGACACGACCUGUCCGACGUAAGUCGAGCGAUCUGUAAGAGAUGCAAAAGAGCUGUUGAGUUAUUGCUUCAAGAUGUAGCCAUUCUAUGUGUCAUAGCACGUAUUUGUUUUUGUCAUCUGCGACUGUUCCUCCCACGGACCAGAGUUCGUAGUGUCUUUUGUGGAGAAGGGUGUGUGUGUUCGUGGCAACGAACUAGUCUCAAAGUUAGGGAUUCCCUCUCUUCGUCUUGCCACAGCACCUGUGUACCAUCCGCAGUUCGGAUGGCACAUGAAGUGGUCUGUGAGUAUCGCAAGGAAUCAAACACUGCAGCUCGCACGUACACGCGAGCGAGCCUUGGAGCAGGAGGUGAGACGUGGAGAACUCAGACUCCCCCAUGAAAGGCUUACACUUAUGGAAAAGCGCGAUUCCCUCAAGGUUCGACCCGAGGGCUCCCAUUGACAGGAGUGGAAUACCAG